UACGUAGGGGGCGAGCGUUGUCCGGAAUCAUUGGGCGUAAAGAGCGUGUAGGCGGCUUGGCAAGUCUGACGUGAUAGCCCGCGGCUCAACCGCGGAUUGUCGUUGGAAACUGCCUCGCUAGAGUCCGGAAGAGGAGAGCGGAAUUCCUGGUGUAGCAGUGGAAUGCGCAGAUAUCAGGAAGAACACUAAUGGCGAAGGCAGCUCACUGGGACGGUAUUGACGCUGAGACGCGAAAGCGUGGGGAGCAAACAGG
rnacentral:rRNA from 1 species